AGCUUACGCCCACUCUCAGGUGCUGGCGGUGGAUUAAAGCCGCUAGUGAAACGGGAAGUUGGUGAACGCUUUGCGUGAUUCCAACGCUGCCCCCGCAACGGUGAUCGAGAUAAGAACGGCUAAGACGCCACUGUGCUAACGCACGGGAAGGUGGUCGUUCGGAAAGAAUGAAGACAUCUUUCGCUCGUCAGCCCGGAGACCGGCCCGAGAGUAAUGGUUCAAC
rnacentral:ncRNA from 8 species